AAAUGGAUCCGGAGGUUGUGGGCAAGAAAGACAUGAUAGUGACAAUUGAACGGGAAGAUUUGGUUCGACUUCUGUCGAAUAAUCAGCUUACCACACCACACAUUGAACUAUUUAUGAUGUAUCUUCAUCAUUUGUGCAUUACAUCGGGCAAAGGUGAUAAGUUUGGAUUCCUUUGCCCUCAUCACAUGACAGAGAAAGGUAAUACUCCAGAGUUAAGGGCCGCGUACCUCCAAUAGAGAAUAUGUGAAGUCAAAAAGGACGUUUUUAUGGCUCCAUAUGUGCACUCGGACCAUUGGCAGUUAUUUGUUCUUUCAAUGAAGAGCAACACUGUCGUCUUUUUAUGCUCCCUCCAUUACAAACUUGGGAAAGAAAUGAAGAAGACGAUAGACUUG